rnacentral:rRNA from 1 species
UACGUAGGGUGCAAGCGUUGUCCGGAAUUAUUGGGCGUAAAGAGCUCGUAGGCGGUCUGUCGCGUCUGCUGUGAAAACUCAGGGCUUAACCCUGAGCUUGCAGUGGGUACGGGCAGACUAGAGUGCGGUAGGGGGAGACUGGAAUUCCUGGUGUAGCGGUGAAAUGCGCAGAUAUCAGGAGGAACACCAAUGGCGAAGGCAGCUCGCUGGGACGGUACUGACGCUGAGGCGCGAAAGCGUGGGGGAGCGAACAGG